rnacentral:rRNA from 1 species
CCUACGGGGGGCAGCAGUGAGGAAUAUUGGUCAAUGGACGAGAGUCUGAACCAGCCAAGUAGCGUGAAGGAUGACUGCCCUAUGGGUUGUAAACUUCUUUUAUAAAGGAAUAAAGCGAGGCACGUGUGCCUUUUUGCAUGUACUUUAUGAAUAAGGAUCGGCUAACUCCGUGCCAGCAGCCGCGGUAAUACGGAGGAUCCGAGCGUUAUCCGGGUUUAUUUGGUUUAAAGGGAGCGUAGAUGGGUUGUUAAGUCAGUUGUGAAAGUUUGCGGCUCAACCGUAAAAUUGCAAUUGAUACUGGCAGUCUUGAGUACAGUUGAGGUAGGCGGAAUUCGUGGUGUAGCGGUGAAAUGCUUAGAUAUCACGAAGAACCCCGAUUGCGAAGGCAGCUUACUAAACUGUGACUGACAUUGAUGCUCGAAAGUGUGGGUAUCAAACAGGAUUAGAUACCCCAGUAGUC